UUGAGCCGGGUGCGGUGAAAGCCGCACGCCCGGUUCUGAGGGGGCCCCGGCGCAGCAAUGCGCCGGGGCUACCCGAC
rnacentral:ncRNA from 2 species